GGAGAGGCUGAAAGAAGUUAUUGAACAGAUCACGAGCUGUAGCUUCUUGCUCUUCCAACUACUGUCAGACAUUUGCUCAAGAGGAUUGAGAAACUGGAGCAGAGAUGGGAUACGUGUCCAGAAGAAAAAUGGAAGGUUAUCUUUAUCCAUUGAACAAGCAGUUAGAGAAAGGUUUUGAAGAGUUCCUGCAGAGAAGUUUAGAUUUUCAACAGCAGCAUGAAAUCAAUGUUGUAUUCUAUUUAGAUUUUCAUUAACCAUAUGAAAUCAAUG